rnacentral:rRNA from 1 species
CUCCGCCGGCGACCGGCGCACGGGUGAGUAACACGUAUGCAACCUGCCCCUGUCAGGGGGACAACCCGCCGAAAGGCGGGCUAAACCCGCGUACAUGCCACCGGGGCAUCCCGGAGGCAGGAAAGGCUUCGGCCGGACAGGGAUGGGCAUGCGGCGCAUUAGGCAGUAGGCGGGGUAACGGCCCACCUAACCGACGAUGCGUAGGGGUUCUGAGAGGAAGGUCCCCCACACUGGUACUGAGACACGGACCAGACUCCUACGGAAGGCAGCAG